CCUACGGGUGGCUGCAGUGAGGAAUAUUGGUCAAUGGCCGAGAGGCUGAACCAGCCAAGUCGCGUGAGGGAAGACGGCCCUACGGGUUGUAAACCUCUUUUGUCGGGGAGCAAAGCGAACCACGUGUGGUUCAUUGAGAGUACCCGAAGAAAAAGCAUCGGCUAACUCCGUGCCAGCAGCCCCGGUAAUACGGAGGAUGCGAGGGUUAUCCGGAUUUAUUGGGUUAAAGGGGUGCGCAGGGGGAGGUGCAAGUCAGCGCUCAAAUUGCGGGGCUCAACCCCGUACUGCCGUUGAAACUGCAUCCCUUGAGUGCGCGAGAAGUAUGCGGAAUGCGUGGUGUAGCGGUGAAAUGCAUAGAUAUCACGCAGAACUCCGAUUGCGAAGGCAGCAUACCGGCGCGCAACUGACGCUCAUGCACGAAAGCGUGGGUAUCGAACAGGAUUAGAUACCCGGGUAGUC
rnacentral:rRNA from 1 species